ACAGACGGUGUGAGUGAGCUGCGCCUGCGCGGCGCAAAGCUACUGCCGUCCCCUGCAGGUGGUGGUGGACGCUGUCUUCGCUGCUUCUGUGAGGGUGCAGCCUUAAGGCCUCAGAGAAAUUCUGACUCCGGUCUCCCGACUGCAGCCACGAACGCCUCAGGUUAAGGACAGAGGACCAGGCCAGUGGAGGGAACAAAGACAGCAGCCAAAUGAUAAACCCGGAGGAAGAUAGAACGUGCUCACCUGGCCUUGAGUAGAAGGAGGUUGGCAACUUUAGGACCUAGUUGCAUAGUGUUUCAGCAGGUCCAACUUGCAGCAAGAAAAUAGGAUCCCAAUGGAGAUGGAUUGCCACUCACCCAGGGGCAUGAAGUAACUCACCCAUCCUGGUGGGAUGUCUUACUACAAAUUCCAGGAGAUAACAUGUUUCCCAGGUGUGAUGGGCCUUGGUGUUUUCAGCAGAACAGCACAUUGAUUCAUGGUGAAAAUCAGGGCAGUGGCUCUUCCCUGUGACUUGACGAUGUUGGGUGUCUUUGCAAGGGUCCGUCUUUUUGCAUGUGGGGUGACUGGCCCUACUGAUUGAUCAUUCAGAUGUAUUAAAACUUGGGACAGUACUUUAGUCUCCCUGGCCAAGGUGGUUUUUCCUGUUAGUACUUUAGUCUGCUGCUUCCAAUAUUCCAUUUUUCCUUUUUACCAACCCUACUGCUCACAGAUUAUAGGUGAAAUAGAGCCUCUAUUCAAUGUCAUGU